GAGUUUGUAAAUAUUUUCGAUGAUGAUAUAAAACAAGUUUUGUUAAAAAAUAGAGAUCUGGCUCAUUUGUUAAUGAAUAAACCGGAUGUUGUACAGAAAAUGUUAAAAGGAGCGCAAUACGUUGACGAAGCAUUAUGCUCUUUACAAGAAGAAUUAAAAAGUUGGAACAAAUCAAACUUAAUUUCUUAACACAGAACGAGACGAAUUGUUGUCGUCGUCCUUUUUCGUUAUUUUAUUUUCCACCUUUUAUUUUUCAUUUUUCAUUUUCCACUUUUUAUUUCCCAUUUCAUAUUUCAUUUUAUUUUUUAAAUAUAGCUAUGCAUAUAUUUUGUUUAAGUUAACUUUGUCAUUUAUUAAUUACUUUUUAUUUUUUAUGCGUACAUUGUUAACAAUUUUU